ensembl:lncRNA
UUCAGCUGUGUGAUGAGGAGGAUGGGCAAGUCGUUGGUUAUCUGUCACUGUGUAAUGAAUUAGCCCUAAAUGUAGUGGCUCAAAACAAUAAUUGACUUAAGAAUCUGCAGCUUGAGUAGGGCUUAAUGGGGAGGCUUGUUACUGCUGAAUCACCAUCAGUCGGGGCUGCUUUAGUGGGACAAGGAUUUCCACUUUAGAGAUGGCUACUCACAUGGGUGGCAAGUCAUUGCUGGCUGAGGGCUGGGAGCCUUCUUUUCUUUCUAUCUGGGCCCCAACACAGGCUGCUUGAGUUGCUUCACAGCGUGGUUGCUUGGCUCCAAGAGUGAGCAUCGCAGAGAACCAGACACAGCUGCAUUGACUUUGAGGACCCCAGCCGCAUGCACUGUCACUUUGGCCACAUUCUAUUUGUGGAGUCAGUCACAGAGGCUGAUCUAUGUACAAGGAGAAGGAAUGUAGACCUCAGUUUAUGAUGGGAAAGGUAUCAAAAUCAGAUUGUCAGAAGAGCAAGUGGGAUGGAAGGCAUUGUUGUGACCAUUUUUGGAAAAUACAACCUGCCACUGAGGCUGUCAGAGAGAGUGCAAAGGAGAGAGGAGGUUAUAAAAUAUCUUCCCAGGCUUUGGCUUCAACAUCUCUGAUCUACCGUGAUUCCUAUGGCUUGCUGAGCUGAUGCAGGGAAAUCUCAUGAGAAAGAGCUUUACAAUGGUUCCUGCAUGCUUAUGAGCCCUCUGAAGUUGAUCCUGGGCAGAAAGAAGCCUCAGGCAAAUGAGACCUGAACAUUCCUUUCCCACUGUGGGUGGGUUACAACUUGAAGGAAGCCGUUCACCCAGCCAUCUAAUUUCCCAGAGAUCUUGAUUGCGAAGGACCGUUUGCAGAUCCCAUCGGAGGGGCCCAGGUCAAGGGACACCUGGGAGCUGACUUCUCCAGAUCUACACGAGGACAACACAGAAGCCUGGGAGUCCCUUUCCCCCGUCCUCUCUGCUAUUUGGACUGCUCUAUCUGCUUUCAUCCUAGAAGGAAGAACGAGAAGAGGAUUGAACAUAUAGCUAUAACAGUCAAGUCCAGAUUUCAUGGAACAUGGCAUAGGCAGGAUUGCUUUUAAUAAAAAAUCAAUUAGGAUGGACGACGGGCGAAGCUUCUCUCAAGACUCAAUUUGAGCAGAGCCCAUCAGGCAAUCACAAGAUCACUAAAGGGAUGUUCUUGUUGCCCUAAGAAAUGAGCCUCUCAAGAGGAACCCACAACCCAACAUGAAGAAGUAACGAGAGUGGGGUUCAGGGGAAGGGUGCAUUAGGCAAUCUACUUGGACAUCUUCUUGGCCAUGGCAAGAACUGGAGGGGCCAUGAAGGUCAAAUAAUUCUAAAACUAUCGCAGGAGAACAGACUGGCACUUGGAAACAGAGCCCUGGUCAAUGGCUAAAGAGAGCAUUAUCUAGUGUGUCUUCAGGGUAGUAAUGGUAGAUUUCCUCACAGUGGCCAUUUGAGAAUUGGGGGAAUUAGGGUUCUAGGCAUCCCAUUUCCACCUUGAGAUGCCGCUCAUGUGGUCUAUGAGAGGGUGUGGAAGCCUGUAUGGAGUAUGCUCUGUGAGCCCUGCGGUCAUUUUACCUGAUGUUCCUGUAGCUUUCACAUACACUGUGUCAGAUGCCUCAGAACAGCAAUGAUAACAUGUUUUGGGCUAAUGAAGAGGGAGGAUGUUACUUCAGCUGCUAUUUUACAUCAUCCUCAGGAGCUUCCUGGGUGUUACCUGAAACCAGCCCCCACAGCAGAGGGUAGGGAGAGACCAAAGAAAGAGGCAGACCACUGGAGGUUGAUAGGCGGCAGAGGUAAUAAGCAAGGGAACUUCCUUAUCAGACUUGUCUUGGGCAGCCUCAAGACAAGUAGAUUUCCAUGCUGCCUGCCAAAUCUUACGUUUUUAUAUAAAAGCAUUAACUGGAUUCAGUCAUGUAUACUGUCCUCAUAGUCUCAAAACUACAUUUCUGUCUCAAGGCUGUAUCCAUGGGACAGCCUCUGGGAAGUGGGAAAGCAAACAGAAUGCACAUUACAAGGAGAGGAGUGGGGAUGGGGAACCUCCAAUUGCCCAGGUCCAGCGCACAGGUCAGCCGGAGGUCACGUCUUCUUGAUGACCUCCUACAACAUCAGCAAAGCACCAGCAUAGGAGAAAGUGUAUCCUGUAAGUGUGUUCAAGUUUUCUCAGAUACUGUCAACAGAGAAACUGGUAGGAUGGUCUGAGAGGCUUGUGUUGAUUGACAGGGCCUUCUCCUGGAGUCUAUGCUUCAGGCGCAUUUCCUGAUGUCUCAGUAUCAACUGAACACUUUGCAGAAGACCAUGCCCUAGAGAACUGGGUGCUCCCAUUUCUCUCUCUAGUUCCAGUUUCCUUUUGUGUUUGGUUCAUGGGUAAGUGGCAGUGUGGAGAUGGCUCUUAUUUGUUAGCUGGAUGCAGUGAGGACCUGCCUUUCACUAAAGGAUGUAAACGAGUGUUUAUGUAGGAAAACGUCAAAGAGUCCCUUCUCUCUCUCUCUCUCGCUCCAUAUGUAUAAAUAAUGUUUUUCUAAAUACCUCCACUCAUAAGGCCAUUCUCCAUGAAUUUUAUCAAAAAGCUGAGACUUUGAUGAUCAUUAUAUAGGUUAUAUUAUACAUAUUAUUAUAUAGAUAUACUAUGAAAUAGAUGACUGUUAUGUAGGUUAGAAGAUUUAGAAGCCAGGGUCCCCACAAAGUUAAGCAAUUUUUAUUUGCACAGCUCAGUAAAGUGGAAACAUGGAGCAGAUCCCAGACCCUCUGGCUCCAAGGGAUCGUGUCCAACAGACAUGACAAUUCUGUUUGCACGAUGUCUGGCACCUUGUAGGUGCUCAAAAUAUAUUGUUGAGUAAAUGAAUAAAUGUCUAGAAGUCUUUUGGUC